rnacentral:tRNA from 1 species
GCGCGCCCAAGCGCGUCCGGCGGCAGUCCCGCGAGUUUCGUGAACUCGUCGAGACCGCGGUGUCGCAGCUGUUCGACGCCGCGGUGCGCA